UACGUAGGGGCAAGCGUUGUCCGGAUUUAUUGGGCGUAAAAGGCUUGUAGGUGGCCACGCCAAGUCGGAUGUGAAAUCUCCCGGCUCAACUGGGAGGGUCAUUCGAUACUGGCGGGCUCGAGGCCGGUAGGGGGAAGUGGAAUUCCCGGUGUAGUGGUGAAAUGCGUAGAGAUCGGAAAGAACACCAACGGCGAAAGCACUCUGCUGGGCCGACACUGACACUGAGAGACGAAAGCUAGGGGGAGCGAAUGGG
rnacentral:rRNA from 1 species